ensembl:lincRNA
GGGCUCCAUUCUCCAAAGCCCCCAGCGGAUCUGGUCAGUCCUGCCCCUGGGUGGGAGUGACCAGGGGGCUCUGGCCCAGGAUUUCCCACCCUGGAAGGUAGUAGCUCCAAAGCAGCAAGAGAAUUGGGCGUCGGGUACGAACCUGGCAGCUCAGGAGUGGGUGCACCACCCACCCCACACAAGAAGAUGAAAAAGCGCAGAGAGCUUAAUGCAUAGAUCGUUUGUCUGGGGACAGCCGGAGAAAGAAGCCCAAGAAAGGCUCAAGCAGCCACCAUCUGCUGCUUCGCACUGAGCCUCCUGACUCAGACUCUGAUUCCAGCUCAGAGGAGGGAGAGGAAUUGCAUGUUGUUGGAAAUCGCUGUGUCAAGGGAGACUACUUAGGAUGCUGCAAGAUCUGUUAUCCUCUCUGUGCUUUUGUCAUCCUCUCGGCCUGUGCUGUGGCCUGUGUUGGCUUGGUGUGGAUGCAAGUGGCUCUGAAGGAGGAUCUGGAUAUUCUCAAGGAAAGAUUUAGAACAAUGGAAUCUAAUCAGAAAAGCUCAUUCCAGGAAAUACCCAAACGUAAUGAAGAACUACUCAGUGAACAGAAACAACUUGAGAAGAUGGAGUCUGGAGAGCUGGGCUUGAAUGAUGUCUGGCUCAACAAUCACAGAAAUGAAUAAGCAGAUUUCUCUGUUGACUUCUGCAGUAAACCACCUUAAAGCCAAUGUUAAGUCAGCUGCAGACUUAAUUAGCCUGCCUUCCACUGUAGAAGGACUUCAGGAAAGUGUAGCUUCCAUUGGCAAUACUUUAAACAGUGUCCAUCUAGCUAUGGAGGCAAUACAGAAAACUGUGGAUGAACAUAAGAAAACCGUGGAAUUGCUGCCAAGUGAUAUGAAUCGGCACUUCUCAAAUUGGACCAAUGGAAGCAGCAAAAUCAUUCCAGCACCCUCAGCUACAUCAGAACUUGAUAAUAAAACCCACAGUGAGAAUUUGAAACAGAUGAGUGAUAGAGCUGCCAUUCUGAAAGGAGAGUCUUUGGAUCAAGGGGACAACAGAACUGAUAUCAUAAAAAACCCGAAACAUAAAGAAGGAAGAUAGUCCAAAUUCUCAGGCAUCCAAGCUGCGAGAGAAAUUGCAGCUGAUCAGUGCUCUCACAAACAAACCUGAGAGCAACAGGCCUCCAGAGAUGGCAGGCGAAGAAUAAGUACAGAGUUUCACAUCAAAGCCAUCAACAUGGCCAAAAUUCUCACAAUUUCUUGGAGACCAAAUUGAGAAAGCUGCCCAACGAAGGCCUGUCUCCCUACCAGGAAUUUCUAGCAUUGAAGAUCUUCAGGAUUUAUUCCACAAGACUGGCCAGGAUGUGCAUGGGAAGCUGACCUAUCAGGAAAUCUGGAACUCUCUAGGUUCUACCUUGCCAGAUCCAGAGAGCUUGAGAGCAUUUGGUUCCAAUGGAGAUGGAAGAUACUCAUUCCUGGAGCUAAGAGUAGCUUUAGCCUCAACAGGCAUUAUUUUAGGAAUGGAUGUAUACCCUGGACUACCUAAAAUCUACUUACAUUACAAAAACAACCCUUUUAUGCAUCAGCCCUCUAGUCCUCCAAACUAUUGUAGCAAACAUAUUGCCACCUUCUAACUUGUUUGAAAAGCUAUACAAAAGUUAUUUUUUUAAAAAAAGAAAACCAUUUUACUUAUAAUCUGAUGUUCAGAAAUCUAUAAUUUCCUGAAACCAGUAAUAUCUUACAUUUUAAAAUUGCCAGGAAAAGAAAUAAUAAAGCCCUCUUUUUUUCUCCUUCCUUUUUUUUAAGGGGAGGAGACCGUAUCUUUUAAAACUGGAAAAAUGUAUAUACAGAGAGAAUAAGCCACCUUUUAUAUUUCAUAUAAAUUUGCCUUAAAUAGCUGCACUUUAUAGAGACUCAGAAAAUGUCUUGUCUUCAAAAGAUAGGCCUUUUCUGUUUGUAAAUAUUUAAAAUGAAAGAAAAAUUGUGCAUAUUGUGUGGAAAGUAGAAAGAAUGAUUUUAAGCAGGAUGUGAACAAAUUACUUACUUUAAAAAAUCACUUAUUUGGGUAAAAACUGAAACUAUAUUCACAUAUGCAUAACUCAUCCCUCCUCCAAGGCCAAGGUGCUGCCAUGGGGUUUAGCCUGCAGAUAGGGGCAUUGAUUCAGGGAUGGAUGCUCUGGGACCAGUGCUGGCUCCAUACUUAAAAAAGUUGGCUUCUGAGAGUUUAUUCCUAUUCCCUCAAUGAAUCCCAACAUGUGAACCAGAGAAGUCUUCUUGAGGAUUUUUCUCAUUUUCUCAUUUUUAAUCCUCUUUUAGGGUUUAGGAACACAAAAAGUUAUCCAGUGGGGAGCUACAUUUUCCCUCAGGUGAGUUAGAUUAUCUUUCCCUAUCCACCUCCACAAGUCUAUCUUAAGGCUAUAGCUGGCUCCUAC